rnacentral:misc_RNA from 1 species
ACAACCCUCAGGCCCUGGUGCCUGGUGUUGGGGCACUACAGCAUGCUGUAGGCCCUGAAAUCCAGUGGCGGGACCGCUGUAAACCCGGGCGUAGUAACUUUACGUCGUCCAGGGUGUUCCGGCGCGCCCCAGCCGUUAAACCCCACCAUAUUAUCAA